CCGUGCAGCUGCCACGAUUCACGAUACCUUUUCUGUUAGUAUAGUAGUAAGGUAUAGUUAUUGUUAGGAUUAUUAAUUAAUUAAUAGAAUAGGAGUAUUCUAUAAUGUAGCAAUAAGUCUAAAUAGUGUAUAAUUAUAAUGUCCACAUCUGGCAAAAUCAAUUUUUUGGGAACAAAGAAGAUUUAUCAAGGGUUUAAAGUUCCGUAAAAACAAAAUGGCGGCGUCAUCGCCCGGUUGAAAAGAACGACGCAAAAGAUUUCGCACUCUUUAAAAUGCUUGUUUGGUAUUGAAUAUUUCCUCCAGACGUUGAAAAGGAUUGAAUUUGAGAAUGUUUAAAACGUGAGGGCGCUGGCAGGUCGAUAGCGUCCGUACUUUAGGCCAGUACAGUUAGCAGACACACAUUACAUCACUUUGUGCCGGUCACCAUAGACCGCGUUCGUUACGAACAUUUGGAACCCGGGCUACUGAGUAGAGAUUCCCUCUUAGGGAUUUUUCUAAUUGCCAUUGGCAGAUGUUUAGUGUUGGGAGCUUCGGGCAGGCUUGUUGCAUAAGUUUCGCGUGUUGCGAUAGCUUCGAAAUUAGUCUUAACAAUGAUACAUGUCCAGGCGCACGUAAACGGUCUGAGAGGUACUAGUGAUUUGAGUUUGAAGCUAUUAGUAUUUCUCUUUUUUGAGGUAUUUGUUUAAAACAUAAAAUAAUUUUUGGAAAUGGAACAAUAUUGAUUUGAGGCGACCAUUGGGUAGAUUAUUUCGGAUCGGAAAUUAAACUAAAAAAAAAUUAUAGUGACGAAAUACAUGACGUAAUACGAGGACGAAGUAAAAACCGUGUUACUGUUGAAAGAAAAAGAUUGAACAGGCGCUAAUUUUUCAUAAUUGUUUUAUAAUUUACGGUUAAAAUAGCAGAAUAUAACACGCUGACGAGACAGAAAAAAGAAAAUUAGGAGAAAAGAAAGUGUAGAAGGAAGGAAAUUUUAGUAGGAAUUUGCAAUAGUUGAAGUAGACGAGAUACAAAACGUGACGAUGUAAAACGAAAAAAUAAGGAACUCCGAGUAAUAUUAAGAUGGUCUAUUAUUAUCGAACUUGUAACGGAAGACAAAAAUGUCCAGAAAGAUACUUUCGUAGCAUAUUUAAUGCGUUGAAAGACUAGAGUACUUAAGAUAAGAUAAUAAUAAUAAUAAUUAAAAAAAACAAUAAAAAGUAUUAGGUCGGAGAAUAAUUAAAGGGAAAUGAUGACAAAAUUAAUGGAAGGAUUUAAAACAUAGGCGGUAUAACAGUGUAGUGUGACAGGUCUUACUGACCUAAAUAUGUGUACAUCUUGAUUUGAUCCCAAUAUUGGGAAUUCAGACUUCUAGGAAAACUAAGAUUCUAGACCAAAUUAAGUUUAUUGAGGAAUAUUUUAAAAUAAUUUAUACGGAUAAGAUAAUCAACCUAACGUUUGAUAAUGACGGCUAUACACAGAGAGUUAGCACAACUAAGAAAUAGCAUUUGAAUAAUGCGGAAAGUUAGUUAAGAAGGAUAAAUGUAAUAACGAAUAUAUGGAAAAAUAUUAGAAAAACUAUGGCUAAUAAAAUGAAAGACGGCAAGUCUCUUAAGUUUAAUUGCAAAUUUAAAGUUUAAAACGAAUGAUGAUAUAAAUAUUAUAUUAUAACUUGCACUAUUCACACGAGCCUUACACCUUAGACACUUUAAUACGGGGGUAAGUCCAUAAUACUGAGAACUAGUCCGCAACCAAUACCUUAACAUAUUAUGCAAAAUAUAAUUUUCGUUAUUUUUUGUUCGUAUAAUUAUGUAUAUCAAAUUUCUACAUUCCACAAUUAAAUAGCGCUGACACACCUGUAUAUUAUUUUUCUCAUUUUCAGAAUAUAAUCUGUGGUACAUGUUAAGAAUUUAUUUAUGAAUUUGGUCUCUAGUAGAUCCUUGUUAGGAGUAACAUCGCAAAGCAUGAUCUAGAUUUCCUUUUAAUUCUGGGAAUUUGUAAGCCAACCCAUUGCACAUUGCACACUUGGAUGAUUUAACGAUUUGAUGUCAUGAGGUUUGUUUGAGCUUUUGUUCUCUAGGCGUCGCAAACUAUAACGAGUAGCGUCGGGCGGAUCGAUGUACCACUUGUAACUUGUGCUUCGUUAAUUUAAACACGUCUAGAUGUUCAUCUGACACUAAGACCAUCUGUGGAGGAUUUCCGGUGGCUAAUGAAAUGUGGUUUUGCAGAUAACAUAAAUUGGUCUAAUAAUAAUGAAUGAGCAUGAGGCUAGUCGGGUUUGGUUUACGUUAAAGUUGGUUAAGAACCCUUGCUAUGUGUGAUAAAGGCUUGUAUGUUUCUAGAUGCGUUAUUUGUAUAAAAAUAGGUAAUUAGAUCAUGCUUUCCGCCUUAUCUCAUGUCCGGAAGUUUCUACAUGUGGGUACGUAAACUGAGUCUGAUUAAAACCAUUAACUAGACCUUGUAUAUCGAACUGGUGUUAACGAUUCCUUUACAGAUUUCUGUUUGCAUUUUAGCUUGUGUACAAAGAUUACCUUAGCCUUGUCCUUAGGAUGUACAAGCUUUACUAGAGUUGCAUAAACAAUUUAUAUAGCUCAAAAUAACCGGGGAAAGAUCUAACGCGAGGUUGAUUCGAUGGAUUGAACUAUAGAUGUGGAAUAAUUGGGAUUGCGUUUAUUUUGAGGAAUAUCAAAAUUGCAAGAUAUUAAUUUUCAGCUAUAUAUUAAACAGUUAUGUGGUGGCGUUUCUUAUAAUAGGAUUAUUACACAUGAACGUAUAACAAUAGGGAGACGCGGAGACUAGAGCGCUGCUUGCACACACACUCGACACCCGCCUUACCACAUGACAGAUGUAUAGAGUUCCAUCAAGCCUGUGACGAGUGGACGAGCUUUUCACGAUCAUUUCGAUUACUGCUAAUGAUGAGUGUAAAACUUAGUAACCGUUGUUGCUUACAUGACUGUUUGCAUCGUUUACGAUUUCUGGUUAAAGGUAUGCUUUUAUUUAUGAACCGAUCCAUUUUUAGGCACAGUUUAUUUUGGUAAAGUUUUCUGUGUAUUUUAGCACAACGUGUCUUGUGGCUAACUUACGAUUGAACACGAAUGAGCAUGGAGUUAGAUGAUUGAGCUCUAAAGAUACUUGCAGGUGUAGCUGGUGUAUAGUGUUUACUCUGUCACUGUUUCUUAUCAGCACACGAUUAAAUGUUGGUUGAUUAGCGACGCCAAACAAACAUAGCCGCCCUCCUUGGCUAUUCGCAGCAGUUCUCGCUUAAGAAUUUACCAUCCUUUUUAACCCAGCGGUGUAUGUACGAAUACCUUCGUCCUCACAAUUGCUUAUUUCUUAGAGCUUUCUUGUGGCAUGUCACUGCCGAACAUGUGACCACGAACCCUGAUUGCUGUGGCUAACUCUUCGUAUUAUUAGUGGAGAUGUUAUGUGAAGUGUAUGCCGUGUGUUGCUAUUUAUAUUACACUGGUAGAUUACAGAUGUUACAUACAUGCAUACAUACAUACAUACAUACAUGGCAUAGAGAGCAUUGAAUGCGUAAAGAAAUGGUAUUGGAUCAUCAGAUAAAAUGUAACGCUUCUAUAAUAACGCUUAAGUUUGAUGUUUCUUACAGUGACGUUAGUUCAGUGAUAUGUUACAGUGUACAAGUGUUCCGUUUGAAAUAUAUAUAUGGUCGUAGAGAUGCGGAAAAUGUAGAAAAUGUAUUUAACAAAUAUAGAUGCCAGUUUAAGUGUGGAGAAAAUAAUCACGUAAUAAAUAUAAAGAGUAUUGGCAAUGGAUUGCAUAAUGUGGAAGUGGUUUUUGCCUGUUUCUUGUAAGUGGAAAAAUCUUGUGGCGAAGUUUUUUUUAAUGAGCGGUCAAUUUGCAUACGUACGAUGCAGGUGGGAGUGUAUAUUAUUUGGAAAUAAUGUGCUUAAAUUGUUUGUGGCAUGUUUAAUCAAUAGAUUGUUCGUUAAUAACGGAAUAGGUAAAAUAUACUUUGAAUUAAUGAAAUGAUUUCAAUACAUAUUAAAUACCCUUGAAUCUUGAAUAGAUUCACUAAGACUCCAAAAGGAGGUCGAACCUAAUCCGUUCUACUUUCAGCACUAACUUAUUUCUUGCAGAUAGAAACUCAUUCUCAUUUCACAAGACAAAAUGAGCACAAACUGUAGACGAAACUAAUAAUCGUUACCAAACGAAUUGAGGAUAAGUUAAAUCUUUCAUAUACAAUAUACAUAUAUAUAUAUAUAUUUUUGUAUAUACUUUAGGAUUCGUGCAUCAAUACUCACAUUUUAAUAUGUAUACAUAUGGUGGACCUAUAAAAUAUCCUUCUGCGUGCUUUUAAUAUUGAUUGCAGUUUAAUGUGGCCAUUGCUGCGACUUAGGCCAGGAGGAUUAGGUAUGAUUUGAGUAGAUUUUCUUCUAUCAUAACUGGUAGUGAGGCUUUAAAGCUUAUGGUAUUAAAAAUGCCACCAAUGUUUUUUCCUAACCUUUGUGCCUCUUGUCUUGUGUUCUUGCAGUGUAUGUUGAGGCGCCCAGUAGUUCGGAAACCGAGAGUUUAGCGGUCACGAUCGAGACGCGUAAAUAACUUUUUUGUUUUAAACCUUUGGUAUAUCGUUUUCUUUGGCACUUUGAUCCUAAGUAGAAAGAAUGUACGAAUAUAGAGGUAUGACUAUUUGGUUACUGUAAUAGUGCCAAGAGCAAAGCUCAAAGAAAAUUGUAUAUAAUUGUUUAUAUAUAACGAAUGUUUUUGUGUGACCUUGAGUUCACAGUUAGUGGUUCUUCGAGCGGCUCCGUCUUACCCUCCGGAUAGUGGUAUGAAUAAAACGCUAAAUAAGAUCCUAGGUUAGGUUUAUAUUGUUUCGUGCGCUGGUUAUAAUUGCAGUGUUCCCGAUUAGAGCACGCGUCGCUAUACGUGUACUAUUGGAGGCUUUCCUAGCUGUAGUUUGGGCGUUGUCCAUCGAGCUUACUGUAAGUUUUUUACUACCUAGAUCUCGUAUAUUUUUCCGUGUCCCUAUUUCAAUUUACAGUUUCCAGUAUAUUGUUCGUUCCUGUUUCGCCCUAAGACGUUUACGGUGGACAUGGAAAUGAGGUAUAUAUUUCUGUAGUUCAAAAUUACCAACAUUCCUAAAAAGGCUUUGAAGAUUACAAUAAUCUUAUUGUAACGAAUCUGUUGCCUGUGUUUUUAUUAUUUUCACAGUUGGUUACUUCGACGACGCGUGACUCUGACGUCAACAUUAAAACAGUAAAUAAAUGCAAUACAUACAUCCAUUUGCUAAGGCUAGUCUACAUUGAAACGAUUUAUUACAGUAAGCUUCAGUAUUCUAAUAAAAUUUUUUUGAACGCGCCUCGUAUUAUCUAGUUUUUACCUAACCUUAUAUUCUUGUCUUCGUGUCGUAAUUCUAUUUGCAGUUUCGAGACACGCCACAUUUAGUUCGGUCCCUGUUCGAAACGGCCAUAUAACGUUGUGGCGGACACAGCGAGGUAUUAUUGAAUAUUGACUGUAUUAGUAGACAAGUUACUAGCCAGAGGCAACAUGCUUACGAAUGAUGUAACAUCGUUAUGUUUGUGUGUAUGUUUGUGUGGUUUUAGUAUUUUUCCAGUCAGCGGGGCUCGUCCCGGCAGCCUCUCCAUAUCCGGUACAAUGUAAAGUACACUGAUUCAUUACAUUACUAGAUAUUUAUGAAAUAAUUUAUAAAUGUGUUAUUUAUAAAUUAAUUUAUAAAACUUAGUGUGUAGGCUGUAUGUGACGUAGGUUAGGUUAAAUGUAGAUUUGAGUAUAAUUGCAGUAAGGAGUUGGUCGCGCAACUACGAGACCGUCGGGGUUAGGAGAGGUGACUAGUUUUGUUUUAACUUAUCUUGUAAGUUAUAACGUUACGCGUGUUUUUCGUUUUAUAUUUUUACAGUUCCCGUUUUUCCUAUUUUUCGGAUCCUGUCCGCGUUGAGCACCGAUCGCAGCCGGUACGAGUAAUGACCUUUAUUUUUCCAAUCUAUAAUUUAAGCAUGUAUCCAUUUAAUAAAUGGUUUUAUUAUAACUUUUCCGUGUCUGUUAUGUUUGCAAUUUAAAAUUUUCUCUUGUAGCGAAACAUUUUGGUUGAUAUUUGAGUAGCAUUGCAUAUAAAUCUUGGGAUCUCGUAACACUUGCUUCCUGCGUCCUAUAUUCACUUGCAGUCGACUCAUAACACAGCAGUAAAAAACUCACCUUCAUUCGAAAGCGACCAUGGAGUGACCUGUAUCUGACUUGGGAACCGCACUUGAUAGUUUGAGGCUAUAUAAACAAUUAAAUGUCUAAGCGCUUGGAGCCUACUAUAACCCGAGGAAAAUUAAACACGGGAUAAAAUUUCUAUUCCUCCCUCAUAUCGUGAAAACUCGUCAAAUUACAAACUGAAGGAACAUGAUCUAAUCUGACUAUAUAAUGAAUGAAUGGCUCAUUAAAUGUAGAUUGUGAUGCAGCUUUGUUCAGUAACUCGCGGGAAAUAAGUAGUGAUGUAAGCUUUACUAGCUUGCCAUGUAGCAGUGUGAUGACCUCGUAUUUCAGCAUCGGAUUAUAUUGUCUUUGGAAAAUUUUUGGAGUUUACAUUACAAUAAAAGGAUCGAUGUGUAUUAGUUUGAAGUUUUCUUCUGUUUAUCUAAUAUAUAGGAGUUUUAUAAAAAUGCUAUGAUGGAAAUUAACUGGCACAUCAGAAAUAUUACCAAAGGGAUAACAUAAGUAUAUCAUAAUAAAAGUUCAAAGAAUAAACACUACACAAAUUUUACACCAGGUAACAAUUUUUUUUAAUUUUUUUUCGCCAUCCAGCUUUUCAAGACGCAAAACGCAUCCUGAAUAAUUUAAACCUUAAUAAUUUGGUAUUUCUUCCAUUUAAUAAAAACCCUUUUUAUUAUUUUUAUUUAAUACAUCUGUAUUACCAAUAUGUUUAAAUAUUAAUUAAUAUUAGAAGAGGAAUUCACUCUAAGUUAAGUUAAUAAAGGAAUCAUCCUUAUUUACUGCACCACAAAGCUUUUUUAGAUAAAUUUAUCAUAAUAUAGUUAACCAUAAAUAUAGACAUAUAAUCUAGAAUAGGUUAUUCUUUAAUCUAGGUUAUGUCUAGAUUUAGGCUAGACUAUGGUUACGUUAAAUUUCUAUCAUAAGUACUUAACGAAAAUUAUCUAACAGCAAACCGGGCGGUGACAUCUAUAUUUUCGCGUGAUAUUUUAAGUAGGAGCUAAAAAUUCUUUACUUCACGAUUGGCUUUAACUUCUUUAAAAAAGGUGAUACCUGUGGAGUUUCUUGCGCCGCUUCUUCUCCACAGAAGGACACCUUCCGAAGCGGUGGUAGAAUUUUUCCAAAUUUUUAAACAUGUUUAAAAUACGAAUAUCAAAUAAACGAAAUUUUUUAAGCA